CGUUGUUUGAUUUUGUGAGUGUUUAAAGAGUAGAAUUUUACGAGAUAAAAAGACGAGUUUUUUUAAUUUACGCCAUAGGUACCUCGCUAUUAUUGUCAUGGACUUGGGAAAAUUUCUUCUUUUCUCUUUGCUGUUGAGAAAUCUGCUGAGAAUGGAUCUGUUUACAUUCAAUUCAAAAUCUAACUUCAUCUUUAUUGACCAUAUUGACAUUUCUUUUCUUUUUCAUCAAGUUACCCUACCGAACAGGACCACACACAUGACAUGCACGUCAAAUGGUGGAACAAAAUAAGGAGUGUGUCAUCCAAAUCAGCAAAUUUAAAUUUUCUCUUGUGAUAUCAGGAAUUACAAAGAUUUUACAGAGGGUCAAUGAAUCAAGAACACAUGGUCCUGACUAUGAGAAAAAUUAUUAUGAAUCAUUGCUAAUUGUAUUAGACACUUUAGAGAAAUGCCUAAGUGGCCAACCAAAAGAUACAACAAGAUUUGAUGAAGCCAUGAAUGUUAAACUGUUACUGCGAGAAAUCUGCCAAUUUAUUUGUAAACAAACUUUGAAAUACAAAAUAUUUAAUAAUAAUCAAGUUUUAACUAUUGAUGCAGAUUUGCCAAAUGAAAAUCCAAUGGUUAACCAGCUUAAAGCUCUAGCUUCAAAAUAUUUAUUUGCUCUCAGUCUCAACAAUUUCAAUGCUGUUUUCAGUCGGAUAUCAUCAAGACUGCAAGAAUUAAGUUCAUCCAACGAAGAGAAUCCUGACUUAAGUGACAUCGAACUCAUUCAAUAUAUAAAUGUAGAUACCAUACGACUAAUCAAAUUGCUGAACGGUGAGAAAAAGUGGUGGAAAAAGUGUUUGCGCUUGUUCAGUCUGUGCUCAACGACUUAAAAAUAAGUGAAUCUAGAAUAUUCCAAAUUGCCACAAUGUGACGUUAUUUCUUGGGCAGGUGUUGCUAUUCAAUCCAGGCAAGCCAUUUUCCCGUUGUGUCAAGCCCAUUGUUUCGUGUCUUGUUUUCGCAUAAAUACCCACAACAACAAAGCUCUUAAAGUAUGCCUCAAUCCACAUUCACCACCAACUUUUCACUAUGUCCUUGUUGCUUCCCUCUACAGAAUUAUCACACAACCACUCUUUCAUCCAUCAUGGACAUAUGUGCAGUUAUGCCAGAGUUUGACACUAAAAGAAAAAGUAAAUCCACUGAAGAACUUCAAGGAGAAAGCGUCGGAAGAGGGUAAUUCUUACAAAAACUUGUUAUUGUCCAUGGUCCGAUUGAUUCACGCUAAUCCACUGCUCAUGUUAAACAACCAAGGGAAAGCUGGACAUGAGAUUCAGAGCUCUACACUAGAAUUAAUCAAUGGUCUAGUCUCGCUGGUUCAUCAACCUAAUAUGGCUGACAUGGCACAGGAGGCCAUGGACGCUUUACUAGUGCUUCAUCAGCCAGAAAAGAUUGAAAUGUGGAAUCCCACGUCCGGUUUUAUCAUCAACGUCUAACCCCUCAGGAGGAGUAAU